CAUAGGCAAUAUUCUGCAGGACUUCUGUCUCCUUUCCCAACUUCCCUUAGUAAGAGAGAGGGGCAAAAUGACAUAUGGUCCUCCCGUUGGGCUGUCUGGUGCUUAUCUGCAGCUUAAGCACCCUGUCCUUCAGUAUCCGCUGUCCAUCACUGCUUCCAUACUGACCAGGUGCCCCAAGCCAGGCUCUAUUUCGGGGAUGUUCUUAGAAGAGGAAAACCAAACUCCAGGUGGACACCACAGCGUUGGCUGAUCUGCCAUAUCAACUUGGUUGGAUUAAUAAAUGGC